CGCUCUAUUGACGCCAUUUUCAAGUGAGUGCGCGCUUCUCUUCAGUUCGCAUUGUAUAUGCUGGGGAGAGGAAUGUCUUUAUGGAAUGCCCAAGAAAGAGAGAUAUGAACUCUAUUCAUGUUAAUCCACAGACGGAGUGAAGUUAAUGCUGGGCGUGGCUGUCAAUAAAUCCCCUUUUGGUGAACAGAAGUGAAAGUGUCCUGGGUCUUCUUACACACAACGCAGAUGAUGGUAACAGCGGUCAGCAACAGACCGGUUACA